rnacentral:rRNA from 1 species
AUGCUGCACCAGGAACAAUAUCACACUGGUUCGGAGGAGAGAGGGGGCGACACCAGCGGGGCAUAUGUUGUCGCCAUGCACCUACGGGCCCCGGCACGGCACUCCCGUCCAUUAUCUUCGAAGAAGGCCACUACCUCCUUGCCUAGAUUGAAGGUGCCGCACCGUCGCAAGAUGAGAUGGAUGCUGCGGGAAGAUGGCCACAUAGAGAGGGUCAGCGCAUCCCCAACGAGACGUCGGAGGCUCUCCUUGAGCAGAACAUCGCCACUGCACACAUCCAACACCGGAGGGGGAAGUUUCACGUUAGAUGCAUAUAUCUAA